rnacentral:lncRNA from 1 species
GUAAUAUUAAUAUACUGAAUAGGUUAUAUAUAUAUAUGUAUGCAUGAAAGUGUGUAUGUAUAAAUAUUUGAAUAUGCAUGUAUGUAUGUAUGUAUCACUAUUUCAUAUUUACGAUUGCGUUAAUUAUUUUGUGAUAAGUGAAACAACGACGGGUGGUGGAGAAGAUAAGAAAAAUUAAAAAGGAGAGACAGUUGAGAGAAUAGAAGAAGCGAGAGAACGAAAUACAAAUAUAGUGUAAGCAAACGAGAGAAAGAGAGUGAGAAAAGGUUUGUAAAUAGAAGUAGAGAAUAGAAAUAGGAGAAAGAGAGAGAAAGAGAAGCUGAGCGAGUGGUGAUGAUAGAGGUAGUGGCAGAAAGACGUGGGAAAUAAGAAAAAGAUAGAUAAUUACACUAAGUGGAGAGAAAGGAAAAUGAGAAAACAUGUGGUGAAAUAGGAUAGAGAGUUCUUAACAGAGAAGGUCAAAAGCUCUAAGGAGAGAAUUAAAUUUAUAAUCAUGUGUUGAAUGAGAGAAAAACUGAGAAAGAAAAGGAAAAAAUAAGUAUCGGAAAGAAAUAGAGAACGAAUGAAAGAGAGAAGCAAUUGUUCUUUCUAACAAAAUCUUACCAACCCGUACAAAUAUUCGCCGGAAUUUGUCACGAAAAUGUAGUUAUAACAUUAUCAAAAACUUUUUACACUUCCCCUCGCCCACAAAUAUACAUGCAUAUGCGUAUAUGCUAAAAGUCGCGAACAGGUUUUGAAAUUUUGAACUCGUUCGGUUACGUUAGAAAAUGAACUUUGCGAGGGCCCAAAUUGAAAAUCUGAAUAUGUAUGUAUGGGCAUGUGCAUGGGCGUGCAUGCGUACAUGUGUCUGUGUGCGUGCGUGCGUGUGUGUGUGUGUGUGUGUGUGUUUGUGUGUGUGUGUGAGAGAGAGAGAGAGAGAGGAGCUGUGUGCGCGCGUGUGUACGUGUGUCUGAAGUGGUAUGGAUGUAAUUUUUACAUAAACGUCAUUGAUUUCUUAUAUAGAUCAUAAGUCACAAAUUUAUAAAGGAUGAAAAUCGAAAAUAUAGCUAAACUUUCUUGAAGAAAUAAGGCUUAGUAAGAGAAAUAAAUUCAGCCGAAAAUUGAAACCGAGCUGAAGAAACAGCCCCGCAGGGAGGUCAACCUUUAUUCCGAAUAUCGCAGUCAAGCGUUAAAACUGUUAAAUAAUAGAUGAUGACGACAACAACCACGGCGAUGAUGUUGGUAAUAAUGAUGGUGGUGGUAAUAAUAUUAGAAAAUAAUUACUGAAAGCUUAAGUCAGCCCCUAAUCAAAGGCACUUAAAGCCAUGACCAUCCCGUCUAUGGUAAUAAGUAGUGAUGCGAGGUAGAUUUGGUUAUUACAUCAAGCAAAACGAGAGGCUGCGUAGCUGUUACUUAACUCAGAUGAUGAAGUUUGUUCACAGCGAUAAAUACUAAUUUAUUUUGAUAUUUUCUAUAUUUACACAUACACACCUUUCGGAUGGCUUUCCGCACUCUGCUCGUCAAACCAGGUCUGGUACACCCCGAUCGUCCCCUCUCACUCCAAAAACUCAACACCAAUCCUAUCUUCCCGUAUCGCUCUGCUCUUUUAAUUUACCUCGGCAUAACCUCUCCCUUUCCCCCCUCUCUCUCACACACACAAUCUCUCUCUCUCUCUCUCUCUCUCUCCAAAAUUCACACACGCUCAUACACACAGUGACAGACAUACGCAGACCGACAUACAUACAUACAUACAUACAUACAUACACGGAGAAACACACACACAAAUACGUGCGCACACACGCUCACACAAACACACACACAUACGCGCACAGAUACAGACACACAGAAACACACACGUUAUCACUCUUUUUGCCCGAAUGUCAUAUCAUUCAUCUUGUUACACUUUCUCUCUCUCUCUCUCUCUCUCUCUCUCUCUCUCACACUUUCUCUUUCUUUUCUCUCUCUUUCUCUCUGCCUUUAACGUUUAUCUUGUCUUAUUAUAGCUAUCUUUUUCCACACCACCAACCCAACCACCCCUCCACUUUCAUUCACUCACUCACUCACUCACUACUGAGUGGCAUCCCUCACCACAACUGAUUAUAAGUAGAUAACUUUGUAAAGAGCAAUGAAAUUAUUGGAGCAGUUGUCUCAAUCAACAACUUUGUCAUUAAGUUCAAUUAGUUUUAGCACCUCUCACUGAGACCGAUCCUGCUACUGAUGUACAGGUUUACCGUUUAACAGCUUUCCACGAUGAUACCGUAAGUUCAACUUUGACUUUAACAUACGCGCAACAUGAUUACAUAUGUAUAUAUAUAUAUAUAUAUAUAUAUAUAUAUAUAUAUAUAUAUAUAUAUAUAUAUAUAUAUAUAUAUAUAUAUAUAUAUAUAUAUAUAUAUAUAUAUAUAUAUAUAUAUACAUACAUACAUAUAUAUAUAUAUAUAUAUAUAUUUAUAUACACUCACACAUACAUACAUACAUACAUACAUACACACACGUACACAUGUGUGAAUGUAUAUGUAUGUAUUUAAAGCACUUGCAUGUAAACAAGAUUAUACAAAAAUGUAGUUACGAGAAUUACACGUACACACAUGCAUCGAUAUGUGUUUGUACGUGCAUAUAUAUAUAUAUAUAUAUAUAUAUACAUAUACAUAUAUAUACGUAUAUAUAUGUAUAUAUAUAUACACACACACACACACACAUGUUUAUAUAUAUGUAUAUAUAUAUAUAUAUAUAUAUAUAUAUAUAUACAUGUUUAUAUAUAUACAUGUAUAUAUAUAUAUAUAUAUAUAUAUAUAUAUAUAUAUAUAUAUAUAUAAUGUACAAUAACCAUGUAAUUAUAUAUCUAUGCAAUAAAUCAUUAACGCAAUAAAUUACAUACUGCAGAAAUACAAAUGUAUACGAAUCAAUAUAUGCCAGUAAGUUUGUCGGUGUGUAUGUACGUAUGUACGUACGUAUGUAUAUAUAUAUAUGUAUGUAUGUAUGUAUGUAUGUAUGCAUGUAUGUAUGUACGUGUGUGUGUGUUUGUGUGUGUGCGUGUGUAGAGUAAUAGGUUUAUAGGGAACUAGAUAGAUAUGAAUAUGCGGUUGUAUAAGCAUGCAUAAAUACAUACUCGCAUACACGUAUACGAAUGUAAACACACCUGUAUUUAUAUAUAUAUAUAUACAUACACAUGCGUGUACAUGCAGUUCAUACGUACAUUUAAAUUUGUACACACACACACACACACGCACGGACACUUAGUUCUGACUGUCGGAAUAAAAAUUAUUACUCGAAUCCAUUGUAAACGUUAAUAUUUCAUUUUGCUCGUAGAAGUCUCUUGCUACUCUGAAUUUCGCCCCUGGGUACUAUCGGUCUUUAAGGAGAGUUUCGACACAGGCGAAACUCUGAGUAGCAAGAGAUUUAUCCGACCAAAAUAAAACAUUGCAUGUGUAUGUGUGUGUGUGUACGUGCGCACACGCGUAUGUGUGCAUGUAUGCAUAUAUGUAUGUAUGUAUGUAUGUAUGUAUGUAUGUAUGUAUGUAUGUAUGUAUGUACGUACGUAUGUAUGUAUGCAUGUAUGUAUCUCUCUCUCUCUAUAUAUAUAUAUAUAUAUAUAUAUAUAUAUAUAUAUAUAUAUAUAUAUAUAUAUAUAUAUAUAUAUAUAUGUCCUGUCUGUGUUUGUUGUAUCGUCUUCUAAGUUUUUAUGCGUUCUUGUCUCAGUUUGUAUUUUUCUACAUAUCAUAAUAUAUAUAUAUAUAUAUAUAUAUAUAUAUAUAUAUAUAUAUAUAUAUAUAUAAUGUACGUAUGUAUUCAUACAUAUGUACGUGUGCGCACAUAUAUGCAUUCUAUAGAUGGUAACGUGCCAGUGCAUUCAUGCUUGACACGUUUAAAGACUGGACGGUGGUCAGACAGGAAUGAUCUUUGUAAAACCAUUCAUUAGCGUAUAGAACAGAUGACCACAUCCGUUACUAAGACCAGUAUAAGCAUUUGAUAUGGACACUAUAUAAUUACACACACCCAGACGUGAGUGUGUGUGUCUUUAUGUAUGUGUGUAUCUAUGGGUGUAUGUGCGUGUGUGAAUGUGUAUGCAUGCGCGCGCACACACACACACAUAUAUAGUAUGUAUGUAUGUAUGUAUGUAUGUAUGUAUGUAUAUAUAUGUAUAUAUAUAAACACAUGCGUGCACACUGACAUGUGCGCGCGUUUAUUUACGUUACGUACAUACAUCGUCAUGCGCACCUAUAUAUGUGUUAUAUGUCGGUGUUUGUUUAUAUAUAUAUAUAUAUAUAUAUAUAUAUAUACAUAUAUACAUAUAUACACAUAUACAUAUCUGUGUGCUAAAAAUCUUGCUUCUCAACUACCUGGUUCCGGGUUCAGUCCCACUGCGUGACACCUUGGGCAAGUGUUUUCUACUCUAUCCUCGGGCCGACCAAAGCCUUGUGACUGCGUUUGAUAGACGGAAACUGAAAGGAUCCCGUUGUAUAUAUAUAUAUAUAUAUAUAUAUAUAUAUAUAUAUAUAUAUAUAUCUGUGUGCGUGUUUGUGUAUGUAUUUGUGAGUCUGUGUUUGCCUCCCACACCAUCGCUUCACAACCGAUGUUGGUGUGUUUACAUCUCCGUAAUAUAGCGGUUCGGCAGAAGAGACCGAUAGGAUAAGUACUAGGCUUACAAAGAAUAAGUUCUGGGGUCGAGUUGUUCGACUAAAGGCGGUGCUCCAGCAUGGCUGCAAUCAAAUGACUGAAACAAGUAAAAGAAUAUAAGAAUAUAUAUAUAUAUAGUUUUAAUAUACAUCUUGCAGAGGCUCUGGGAAGAACAUCAGAGAGGCUUUUUAAACCACACACACACACACACACACAUACAGGGUAAUUCAGAAACCCUUUUCUUUUUAGCGUUUAGACGAUAUAUGAAAAUUUAAAUUCGUUAUUAUGUUACAGUUUUGUUUUUAUAGGUUUUUAAUAAUUUGUUAUUUUCAUGUAAAUAUCUUAUCACACACACAUACAUACACACACACACACACAUCGUUAUAUAAUUUAGAAAAAUACCAAAGGAUGUGGGAAUUCUCAUUGUCCUAAAAGUGUAAUGCGGUGAUUUAUUUCGAUUUUUCCAGAUAUAUCUAUCUGAACUACCCGGAGUGGUCUAGGUGGCUGCCUGCAAUUAGGCAUCCACUCUGAAAACCAUGAGCCGUGACAGCAGCGAGAAUACUGUUGUGCAGAGGAGUUUAAUGAAUGCUUGCAGGGACAUGGGAGAAUGCUGUGAAAGAGAGGCGAAUUUUGAGAAGUGGGGACAGUCGGGAGUUUGAGAUAUACAUUUAAAAGCUCAACUGACCCUGGCUGUCAAUCGGUUUAUAUUAAUGCCAUGAAUCACUGUUUGUGCGUGCUUUAUACAUUUAUGCACACACAGAUUGAUCGUAUGUGCUUGUAAAUUAUAUAUGGACGUGUCUGAGCGUAAAAAGUUUGCUUCCCAUUCACAUGAGUUCCAGAUUCAGUCUCGCUGUGUGGUACCUCGGGCAGGUGUCUUCUACUAUACCCCUGCGCCGACCAAAGCGUUGUGGGUGGAUGAAAACUAAAAGAAUUCCGUCUUACACACACACGUGUGUGUGUGUGUAUGUGAAUGCGUAUAUGUGUGUGUGUGUGUGUUUGCACUCCCCCACAACGUCUGACAACCGGUGUUGGUUUCUUUACGUUCCCUGUAACUUAGCGGUUCGGUAUGAGACCCAUAAAGUACCUUACUUAAAAAAAUAAGUACCGGGGUCACUUUGUUCGACUAAACACAGCAUGGCUGCUGUCCAUUGACUAAAACAAGUAAAAGUUAUAAAGCAUGUAUGCCUAUGAGUGUGAUGCUUGUGGUGGUGAUAGUGGUGGGGUGUGCAAUCCAGAGUGUGGACACUUUGUGGGUAUCUGUACAGUCAGUUUCUGUUCUAAGGGUAAUUCUUAGGACGAUGCUGGUUCUAUUUUGCAUUUACCUUUUCGAAAAGCCUUUUCCUUGGACCACACAAGUAGCGUGGACACGGAAGAUUUGCGUUCGUGGCCCAUGGCUAAUCCGUCCUACAACAAUAACAACAAUAAUCCUGAAAUUUGGUGGUGGUGUUGUGGGUGUUUAAGUCGAUUACAUCGAUCCCAGUACUCGACUGGUAUUUAAGUUAUAGACCCCAAAAAGAUGAAAGGCAAAGUCGACCUCGGCGGAACUUGAACUCAGACGUAGUACCGCUAGGUAUUUCGUCCAUAAACCGAAGCGAAAAUCCCAGGAUAUCGUACAUAGUUGUAUAUACGCAGUCAAUCCUAACAGAAGGACAGCUUAAUCACACACUACGAAGAAUCUUCUGCACUUGGCACUGUAUAAUAAAGACGAAAGAAAGCGUGGUGGUGGCAUGUCUAUUAUUUCGACACCAAUAUAUAUCUGGUACUAUAAUUUAUCGAUCUGGAAAGAAUGAAAAGCAAAGAUGACCAUAGCGUGAUUUGAGAUGUGUAUAAAGAGCCGGAAAAAUGCCGCAAAGAAUUUUGACCGACCUGUAUACGUUGGUACAAAGUCAGUAGUUUAUUGGGAGGGACAAGUCGAUUAUGUUGACUCUCGUGCUUCAGAACUUUAUUUCCUCGACCUGAAACAAUGAAGUCCUAAGAAGAUCAAGGCGGGAUUUGAACUCAAAGCGAAAAGAGAUGAAAGAAACGUCACCAAGUAUUUGGUAAGACGGGCAAACAAUUUCGCUACCACACCGCCCGAAUAAUAUUGGUUUCAAAUUUUGACUCAAGGACGGCAAUUACUAAACUGGCGCUCGUUUAAUCGACUGCGAAAAGGUGAAAGGCAAAGCUGAUCACGGUGGAAUUCGAACUCAAAAGGUAAAAGAUGGACGAAAUACUGCUAAGCACUUUCCUCAACGUGUUACCGAUUCUUAACUUUUUAUUGCCCACAAGGGGCUACACACAGAGAGGACAAACAAGGACAGACAAAGGGAUUAAGUCGAUUAUAUCGACCCCAGUGCGUAACUGGUACUUAUUUAAUCGACCCCCGAAAGGAUGAAAGGCAAAGUCGACCUCGGCGGAAUUUGAACUCAGAACAUAGCAGCAGACAAAAUACCGCUUAGCGUAUGACCGAUUCUGCCAGCUCGCCACUUUUAAUAAAGUUUUGUAAUUUAAAGACGAAGGAAAACAAUAAAUUGCGAUACAAACAAAACGAAACACUUUCUCAAAUAAAACAUUUAAUGUGAAUUCCAACACUUUCUGAUUACAAGUAUGCACGCACGCAUACAUAAAUUCAUAUAUAUAUGCGUGUGCACGUAUGGAAAUAUAUACGUGCAUUUGUGUGUGUGUGUGUGUGUGUGUGUGUGUGUGUGUGUGUGUGUGUGUGUGUGUGUGGAUGUGUGUAUACACACAUAUACCCCCCCCCACACACACCCACACGCACACAUAUGUUACCACACACAAACACACGCGCACACACAUGAGCAUAUGAGUGUGUGUGUGCACGCGCGUCAAUCUUUUGGUGUCUCAUCGCUAAACAAUGUUCGUUUGUUUGCGCUUAGCUUACGACUAAAGAUGGGUGAUAGGAUC